UUUUCGUAGGUGAACCUGCGGAAGGAUCAUUAAUGAGUUGUCAUGGGGUUCGAUGCUGGCAGCCAAUUUUUGGAUGCAUGUGCUUGCCCUAACAAUCAUCUUCCAAACACCUGUGCACAUUUUUGAGGGAGUCUUGAGUUGGUUGCCGCUCUUGGGUGAUUUUCUCACAUUCCCUUAAAUCAUUAUACGCUAUUAACAAUGUUGAACGUGCUCUGUGCCGCAAGGCUAUUAAUAUAAUACAACUUUUAACAACGGAUCUCUUGGCUCUC
rnacentral:misc_RNA from 1 species